UCUUUCUUUUUUUUUUUUUUAAGUCCAGUCGAUCUCUCGAAACAACCGAGCUUCUUGUAUCUCGAAGGCUUCCCCUGCCCUUCAGGGAAGGAGAAGAUGAUGGAUCUUCCUUGCCUAGUUGUGGUCGAAGCCCUCCCCCACCUAGGUUGAGAGUAAAUAAUUGUUUUGGGUACUCUUUUCUUGUAAGUUGGGUCAAUUGAAGAGGGCCUUCAAAGCAGACCUAAUUAUGUGGUUGUGGUAUUUUGGGGUUUGUGUUUACGAAGACAGUUUGAUUUCCAAUGGCUGCCAAUUGGUUUGUAACUAAAAGAUAGCUUUGAGUGAUAAGAGGGCUCACUUGCAUUGGCUGUUCCGCAUCUCCGGGUUUUGCUUCUACACUACGGUUGGGAAAGUCUUCCCGAUGGCAUCGAGUGCCAGAAAGCUCUGCAAUAGCUGUGCUUUGAGUAUGUCAAGGAUGGUGGGAGACUAAUGCUGCUUUGAGUUGCUGCACGAUGAUGGGCGACGUUGGGUUACUCCUUGCUAUGUUAGCAAUGUCUGUGAGCUUCGAUCUUUGUUCAUCUUAUUUUGAUAGCAAGCCUCCUAGUGGUCGGCAACGUGUAGUUCUGAGUUAGAGCUCUCCUGUGAUCUUAGUGUUUCUAGGUUGGGGAAAGUUCUGCUUUAUUAGAUGGAUUUUAACUAGAUUUUGGAUUGAGUUGUUUCUUUGAGCUUGUUAUUAGUUCCACAAUAUGAGCCUCCUUUCUAUCCUGUUAUUUUGGCUUUUAGCCUUUUAAUGCAAGACGCAAG
rnacentral:misc_RNA from 1 species